rnacentral:rRNA from 1 species
UACAGAGAGUGCGAACGUUGUUCGGAAUUACUGGGCUUAAAGCGCACGUAGGCUGCAUCGUAAGUGUCCGGUGAAAUCCCACGGCUCACCCGUGGAACUGCCUGGCAUACUGCGAUGCUCGAGUAUGGUAGGGGAGAGCGGAACUCCUGGUGGAGCGGUGAAAUGCGUAGAUAUCAGGAGGAACACCGGUGGCGAAGGCGGCUCUCUGGUCCAUGUCUGACGCUGAGGUGCGAAAGCUAGGGGAGCAAACGGG